rnacentral:rRNA from 1 species
AGCGAACGCUGGCGGCAGGCUUAACACAUGCAAGUCGAACGGGCACUUCGGUGUCAGUGGCAGACGGGUGAGUAACGCGUGGGAACAUACCUCUUGGUUCGGAACAACACAGGGAAACUUGUGCUAAUACCGGAUAAGCCCUUACGGGGAAAGAUUUAUCGCCGAGAGAUUGGCCCGCGUCUGAUUAGCUAGUUGGUGUGGUAAAAGCGCACCAAGGCGACGAUCAGUAGCUGGCUGAGAGGAUGAUCAGCCACAUUGGGACUGAGACACGGCCCAAACUCCUACGGGAGGCAGCAGUGGGGAAUAUUGGACAAUGGGCGCAAGCCUGAUCCAGCCAUGCCGCGUGAGUGAUGAAGGCCCUAGGGUUGUAAAGCUCUUUUGUACGGGAAGAUAAUGACGGUACCGUAAGAAUAAGCCCCGGCUAACUUCGUGCCAGCCGCCGCCGUAAG